rnacentral:rRNA from 1 species
AUGGGGUGCAGCAGGGGCGAAACCUCCGCAAUGCACGCAAGUGUGACGGGGGAACUCCAAGUGAUUCUGAUUUUAAUCAGUCUCUUUUCUGAAGUGUAAAUAGCUUUAGGAAUAAGAGCUGGGAAAGACGGGUGCCAGCAGCCGCGGUAAUACCCGCAGCUCGAGUGGUCUGGAUUUUUAUUGGGUCUAAAGCGUUCGUAGCAGGACGCAUAAGUUUUCUGUGAAAUCUAACAGCUUAACUGUUAGGCGUGCAGAGGAUACUGUGUGUCUUGGGACUGGGAUGGGUCGAGGGUACUUCAGGGGUAAGGGUGAAAUCUAAUAAUCCUUGAGGGACCACCUGUGGCGAAGGCGCUCGGCUAGAACAGAUCCGACUGUGAGGGACGAAAGCUAGGGGAGCGAACGGGAUUAGAUACCCGGGUAGUCCCAGCUGUAAACGAUGCAGACUCGGUGAUGCCCUGGCUUGUGGCCAGUGCAGUGCCGCAGGGAAGCCGUUAAGUUUGCCGCCUGGGAAGUACGUACGCAAGUAUGAAACUUAAAGGAAUUGGCGGGGGAGCAC